ACAGCUUUGACAGAAGGAUAUAUGUAGCAUUUAUUAUUAAAGUGCAUUGGAAAUGCAGAUCAAGACACCCAGAGCAGGAGUAGUUUGCUACUUGAUGGUAGAGUGGUUCAAUUCCAAAAAGGGCACCGAUGUCCUUAUUUAAAGACAAGCAGAAAGCAGGCAGCAAAGAGGAACAACCUAUUAGAAAUUCAGCCCUGUCUAUGCGAUGGUCACAACCUCCUGCCAUGGUAGAGAAAUAGAGGUAAUUACCACCUUUAAACUCAGUGACAGCGUCAGUUUCUUUCCUUUCCCACCACUGCUUGUCUCUGAAGAGGCAAAACAAAUGUAAGGGUUAGUAAAAGCCAUCCCAGCCUGUGUAAUUGAGUGUAUUUUUGCAAAGAAAGCCUUUCCUAGCUCUUUGGAGGGCAAACAAACAAACAAAUAAAUACAAAUCCUAGAUGGACCAAGGUUUGCCCUGGAUGGGUAGGUGCUAUAGGAAGAAUGAGGGCUUUGGGGAAGUUAAAUGUUUGUGUGCACUUUGCCACAAAGAUCUAUUACUUUCCUAUUGCAGAAAAUACUCUGAGGAACUGUGCCUCAAUCUCACGUUGUCUUAUAAAUAAGGACCAUUACUGUUCAGUAAAUUUCUCCCUCUGGUGGACAGAGUGCUAUAAACAGAGGGUGAUCUUUGUGUAGCUGUAAAAUGAGGUCUUGGAAAAUCCCAUUGCUUGGACGUGAGUUUCUCUCAAUGAGCCAUGCAGCAGGAGACUGUGAUCUCCAUAAUGCAGAGACUUUCCUAACCAUCCCCAGGGGUGUAGGUCUCACCUUCCCACCCCAACUGAUGCAAAAAAAAAAAAAAAAAAAAAGGAUGUUUUUCUACUACUCAACAAUGCAAAAGUUCCUCUUCCUUUCAGGUUUUCUUUAGUAUUUGUCUGGAAUGAAGUGAUAUUUUAUUUGGGUUCUAGGGAACAACUUCAAUUCUACCACCUUUUGAUAAUUUAAACUGAACAGAGGGACAAUGUGCGGACAAGAUACCUCGGAUACACAACAAGACAGCUGCUCCUUCAUGGCCAUGUUCUAUUGCAUGGAAAUAUCAUGGCUACCAGAUGUCAUUACAAACAUCACCUAACAUCAAAAGCUGCACCUCAUUAUAGAGGAAAGGAAAAGGAAAAAGAAGGAAAAUAAACACUCCAGUCUGGAAGAAGAGUAAUUCUUUAGAAGUGGGGUCAGAAAAGAGAGGAAAUGAGGUUAUGAGUUAUGCUUUGUGUCCCUCUUUGAAUUCUCUGUCUAGAAUUUGCAGGUGACUGAAGACGGUCAAGUUAUUGGUCCCACUGCAGACAGAAGCACACAACUCUGCUGUCUAUGAAACAUCGGCAUGGUACUCUUGUAAUGGAGGAAGGAUUGACUGAUAUUAGAACAUCUAAGAUGACAGGUCCAGAGAAGGAUUUGCCAAAGGAAUCUGGUGGUAACCAGUCAGGUAAAUUAGGAAAUAUUCCCAUCACUAAAAUGUAAUUCAGCAGAUUGUUUCCAUGUUUCUUCCUGAUACCAAACUCUCCUUACAAUGGUGGAUUCUCAAGCAGCAUGAGCACUUAAAGUUGCUCAUUUAAUGAGUUACAUGAAAUCAGAACCAACUGGUUGGUCUGAUUUCUGAGUGGUCCUGUGUGGGGCCAGGUGUUGGAAUUGGUGAUACACUUCCCUUCCAACUCAGGAUGUUCUGUGAUUCUAUGACUGCUGCCCAGAAGCAUGCAAUCUGCUGCUCAGGCAUAGCCCCAGGAUGCCACCAGCCUGCAGAGGUUGUUCCUGGCAGAAGUCAUGGGAAGAGUAGGGGUUACCAACAACCAAAUAGAAAAUUAAAGGGUGAAAAAAAACCAGAUCCACCACGGUGUAACUUUCGUUAGUUUCUCUUUCCUCUGAGCUACCCUUUUUGGAUGGAAUAGCACAGUUUGUUGGGUUUGUUGAUUGUAACUUUUAUGGGGAAAAUCUGUUUUGAAUGCUCCUGAAGAGCUUAGUGAGAUGUUCAAAUGGCAUUAAACAAAUUCAUUUGAGAUGAAUC
ensembl:lncRNA